rnacentral:tRNA from 5 species
GGGCGGUUCGCAUAGCGGCAAUUGCAUCUGGCUGUAGACCAGACGUCCUUACGGACUACGGGGGUUCGAGUCCCUCACCGCCCA